AUACGUAGGGGGCGAGCGUUGUCCGGAUUUAUUGGGCGUAAAGGGUGCGUAGGCGGCCUUUUAAGUCAGAUGUGAAAGAUCACGGCUCAACCGUGGUAAGCAUUUGAAACUGGAAGGCUUGAGUUAAGGAGAGGAAAGUGGAAUUCCUAGUGUAGCGGUGAAAUGCGUAGAUAUUAGGAGGAACACCAGUGGCGAAGGCGACUUUCUGGACUUAUACUGACGCUGAUGCACGAAAGCGUGGGGAGCGAACAGGAUUAGAUACCCUGGUAGUCCACGCCGUAAACGAUGAGUGCUAGGUGUUGGGGGUCAAACCUCAGUGCCGCAGCUAACGCAUUAAGCACUCCGCCUGGGGAGUACGGUCGCAAGACUGAA
rnacentral:rRNA from 1 species